rnacentral:lncRNA from 1 species
GAGUUAUCAGUUUUCUGGAGGAGAGAAGACUUUUCUAAGGAUUAAAGGCAAAGAAGAGCAUCAGUGAAAAUGCUCACAGUCCCAUGAGAUGUUCUCUAGAAUCCUUGGCAACAAGCGACGCUGCUACGCAAGACAGAGAAAGGGCCGAGCCACUCUGAUUCCUUCACCUUCCGAAAGGCCAGCAGCCUCUGACACACUGUGCGGAAGUGAGCACUUCUGAGAGAGCAUGGGACACCAGGCCCAUGUGCCACUAGCAGUGUGCACACACCACGUCUGCCAUCCGCAUCUCUAAGACCAGUGAAACGACUCAUCACCCUUAUGCAGUGCACAAACGAACACAGGUACUCAGCCACACUACCACCCAGGAAGCAAUCCCUGUGGGGGCAGAUAGGGGGCAGAUGG